UUAGAUGAAUUUUAUUUAACGUCACAAACAAAGGCAGUAAAAUUAAUUCCUUCUUUUGUUUUGUGUACGUAUCUAACCAUACUGCUUACAUGGUUGCAGAAAAAGGUAUGAAGACAAAGUUAUCGCUAGGAAAGAAGUGACAAACAGAGGAAGUUCCUGGCUCGACACCAAGCACGCUAAAGGAUGGAUGCUUACGACUCCACUGAGACGUAUCCAUGUGGCAAACACUCAGUGCCUCAACCAUAUCACCAUCUUCACCUUCUAAUGAAACCAUAAGCACCUUGUUCUCGCUCUCUUGGCUAUGGCAAUAAAACACUGCAUAUGGGUAUGGCAUGGUGUGACAAGCUACUAACUUUGGAGAUGGUAUGUUUUGUGAGAUUUCAACCACUUUAUAGUUUUGCAAAAGUCCAACUGAUGAGUGUUUAAGGUGGGUUGUUGCCAAAGUUUUGACACGAGUGUCGAAUCCAAAGAUUUCCCUUGUGAAGUCGUAGACCGAUUCUAAUGAGGUUGCACAAAACUUGGUCUCACCGUUAAUGGGCUUGACCUCACAUUCUUUGAGGGUGUUUUCCAUGGCUAUGGCUUGUGGAGAGCCAUGUGAGAUUGAGAACAAGUGAAGGAGGUUUGGGAAUUCUUCAAGAGAAAAAGGGAUGUUAUCGGCUUCGGCUUUAGAAAGGAUUUGAGAUGGGGAAAGGUGUCUGUUUGGGAAGUAAAUAGGCAUCACUUCGCCUACUUUUAAGUCAUUUAUCAUGAAGAAAACCAUUAAUUGAGGGUCUUUAUGAUUUGUAGAUGGUGACGACGAUGAUGAAUGUUGAUGAUCAAGACCAUGACCAUGAUCUUGAUGCGUAUGGUCAUGAUGAUGGAGAUAUUUGGUGACAUCCUCCAUUUUAUUGAGUAUUAAGACAUUAGCUUCUGUAGCGCUAUCUCCUAUCACA
rnacentral:lncRNA from 1 species